GUCAUAAUACACUCAGGCUUAUCGGUCUCAAGCAGCCACUGAGAUAUGUGUGUCCCAUUGGUUAAGGUGCAGUCAAUGAAAAUGACUCCUUCAAAGCGUGAUAUGCUCUUGUUUGCAGCGGCACUACUGACGUGAUUGUUGACGGAGCAGACGAGCUGUCCUGACACGCCUGGUUUCAGAGUGAUCUCCUUGUUGUCCUCAUUAGCAGAGAGGAGCUGGCUGUCCAUCAGUGUGUGUCCAUCCAGAGUCCAGCUGUACUGAGGACUGUCGCCCUCCUCAGAGGAGCAGGACACCCUCAUCUCUCCCUGGGACAGACACUCACAGGCCAGCAGGGGAGACGACACUGGGGCUGAGGGACACACACAUCACUUUGCACAUGGACACAGUCUUUGCAGUGCAGCUUC